rnacentral:rRNA from 1 species
GGUGGUAAUGCCGGAUGCUCCAUCACACCGCAUGGUGUGUUGGGAAAGCCUUUGCGGCAUGGGAUGGGGUCGCGUCCUAUCAGCUUGAUGGCGGGGUAACGGCCCACCAUGGCUUCGACGGGUAGCCGGCCUGAGAGGGCGACCGGCCACAUUGGGACUGAGAUACGGCCCAGACUCCUACGGGAGGCAGCAGUGGGGAAUAUUGCACAAUGGGCGCAAGCCUGAUGCAGCGACGCCGCGUGAGGGAUGGAGGCCUUCGGGUUGUAAACCUCUUUUGUUAGGGAGCAAGGCAUUUUGUGUUGAGUGUACCUUUCGAAUAAGCACCGGCUAACUACGUGCCAGCAGCCGCGGUAAUACGUAGGGUGCAAGCGUUAUCCGGAAUUAUUGGGCGUAAAGGGCUCGUAGGCGGUUCGUCGCGUCCGGUGUGAAAGUCCAUCGCUUAACGGUGGAUCCGCGCCGGGUACGGGCGGGCUUGAGUGCGGUAGGGGAGACUGGAAUUCCCGGUGUAACGGUGGAAUGUGUAGAUAUC